rnacentral:rRNA from 1 species
AGGACGAACGCUGGCGGCGUGCCUAACACAUGCAAGUGGAGCGACGAACCAGGCUUCGGCCUGGGGCAAAGCCGCGAACGGGUGAGUAACACGUGGGUAACCUGCCCCGAUGAUUGGGACAACCCGAGGAAACUCGGGCUAAUACCGAAUGUGCCCUCCGGCCAUAAGGCCACUGGGGAAAGGAAGCUUCGGCCUCCGCAUCGGGAUGGGCCCGCGGCCUAUCAGCUUGUUGGUGGGGUGAUGGCCUACCAAGGCGACGACGGGUAGCCGGCCUGAGAGGGCGACCGGCCACACUGGGACUGAGACACGGCCCAGACUCCUACGGGAGGCAGCAGUGGGGAAUCUUGCGCAAUGGGCGAAAGCCUGACGCAGCGACGCCGCGUGAGGGAUGACGGCCUUCGGGUUGUAAACCUCUUUCAGCUCCGACGAAGCGGAAGUGACGGUAGGAGCAGAAGAAGCACCGGCCAACUACGCGCCAGCAGCCGCGGUAA